rnacentral:misc_RNA from 1 species
UACGAAGGGCCCGAGCGUUAAUCGGAAUCACUGGGCUUAAAGGGUGCGCAGGCGGACCUGCAAGUGCUUUGUGAAAUCCCACGGCUCAACCGUGGAAUUGCUUGGCAUACUGCAGGUCUUGAGCCCGACAGAGGUCGUCGGAACUCUAGGUGGAGCGGUGAAAUGCGUAGAUAUCUAGAGGAACGCCAAAGGUGAAGACAGGCGACUGGGUCGGUGCUGACGCUGAGGCACGAAAGCGUGGGGAGCGAACGGG